rnacentral:lncRNA from 1 species
UCAAUUUUUUUUUAUUACAUUACUCCGUUCCGAUUGCGCAUCCAAAUACAUAAUAAAGUAUUUCUAUCACAUAUAUUUAAAUUAACUUUCGAAAAGAUCUUUUCAAAUGUUAUAAGUUAAUUACUUAAUAUCACUUCCCUUAAUUAUAGUUGUGACUUGUAAGAUCUCAUGUACAACUUACGUUUAUGAUGUAGAUAAGUUAAUCAUAAUGUGUUUAGGUUCAAAGUAAAGGAUUAAAAACCAUACCUAAAAUAUCUCGAUAUUUUGAGUUUGUUAUCUGAAUUAUCAUAUAAACACACAUAAACUAAAUAGAAGAAAUGAAUAAUUCAUAUUUUAUGUGUGUUUCGAAGUAUGUUUUUGAUCCGUAACAUAUAGAUAUUCAAUUGAAAUUGAUCAUAGUAUUUAAAUAAAUAUAUACGUUUAAAAGGUUGUCAAUAUAUUCGGUCUUAUGUUUAAUGCUAAUUUCGUAAAUAAUUGAAUUUUUCAGGGGU